UGGGAUGUCGUCAAGUGGUAAGACAACGGUCUUUGAAGCCGUCAUUCGAAGGUUCGAGUCCUUCCAUCCCAA
rnacentral:tRNA from 1 species